rnacentral:rRNA from 1 species
ACGAACGCUGGCGGCGUGCCUAAUACAUGCAAGUCGCACGAGAGCGACCGGUGCUUGCACUGGUCAAUCUAGUGGCGAACGGGUGAGUAACACGUGGGUAACCUGCCCAUCAGAGGGGGAUAACAUCCGGAAACGGAUGCUAAAACCGCAUAGGUCUUCGAACCGCAUGGUUUGAAGAGGAAAAGAGGCGCAAGCUUCUGCUGAUGGAUGGACCCGCGGUGCAUUAGCUAGUUGGUGAGGUAACGGCUCACCAAGGCCGUGAUGCAUAGCCGACCUGAGAGGGUGAUCGGCCACAUUGGGACUGAGACACGGCCCAAACUCCUACGGGAGGCAGCAGUAGGGAAUCUUCCGCAAUGGACGCAAGUCUGACGGAGCAACGCCGCGUGAGUGAAGAAGGUUUUCGGAUCGUAAAACUCUGUUGUUAGAGAAGAACAAGUGCUAGAGUAACUGUUAGCGCCUUGACGGUAUCUAACCAGAAAGCCACGGCUAACUACGUG